rnacentral:rRNA from 1 species
UACAGAGGGUGCGAGCGUUACUCGGAAUUACUGGGCGUAAAGCGUGCGCAGGCGGUUUUGUAAGACUGUCGUGAAAUCCCCGGGCUUAACCUGGGAAUGGCGAUGGUGACUGCAAGGCUAGAGUUUGGCAGAGGGGGGUAGAAUUCCACGUGUAGCAGUGAAAUGCGUAGAUAUGUGGAGGAACACCGAUGGCGAAGGCAGCCCCCUGGGUCAAAACUGACGCUCAUGCACGAAAGCGUGGGGAGCAAACAGG